GUUAGCCUAACGACCCAACCCCGCGAGCUAGCUGCACAGCCCGCUUCUGUCUAGGUAGCUAGUUAGCAGGCUAAUGCUAACACAAGCCUUUUUAUUCCUGAGAGAAAACUGACCGGGUUUGUUUCGAGGACCGGGACCGGGUUUGUUUCGAGGACCGGGACCGGGACCGGGUUUGUUUCGAGGACCGGGACCGGGACCGGGUUUGUUUCGAGGACCGGGACCGGGUUUGUCUCGAGGACCGGGACCGGGACCGGGUUUGUCUCGAGGACCGGGACCGGGUUUGUUUCGAGGACCGGGAGCCGCCGACCCGACAGCAGCAUGGCGACCCCCCCCGCAGCGAUACAGCCCCGCUGGAAGCGCGUCCUGGGCUGGACGGGCCCGGUACCGCGGCCCCGGCACGGACACCGGGCGGUGACCAUUAAGGAGCUGAUGGUGGUGUUCGGCGGCGGGAACGAGGGCAUCGUGGACGAGCUGCACGUCUACAACACAGCUACCAACCAGUGGUUCAUCCCCGCGGUGCGAGGCGAUGUCCCCCCCGGCUGUGCCGCCUACGGCUUCGUGUGUGACGGGACGAGGCUGCUUGUGUUUGGAGGGAUGGUGGAGUACGGCAAAUACAGCAGCGACCUGUAUGAGCUGCAGGCGAGUCGUUGGGAGUGGAAACGUCUGAAGGCCAAGGCUCCAAAGAAUGGCCCGCCCCCCUGCCCCCGCCUCGGACACAGCUUCUCUCUGAUUGGUAGUUCCUGCUACCUGUUCGGAGGGCUGGCCAAUGACAGCGAAGACCCAAAGAACAACAUCCCCAGGUAUCUGAACGACCUGUACUGUCUGGAGCUGCGUCCGGGGUCCAGCGUGGUUGGCUGGGAGAUCCCGCUGACGUCAGGUCAGCCACCACCGCCUAGGGAGAGCCACACUGCAGUGGUGGCGAGCGGCCGUGGAGGAAACAGACUCAUCAUCUACGGAGGGAUGAGUGGCUGCAGACUGGGAGACCUGUGGGUGCUGGACAUUGACUCUCUGAUGUGGAGUAAACCGGCUCUCAGUGGAACCGCCCCCCUUCCCCGCAGCCUACACUCUGCUACUACCAUCAACAACAAGAUGUAUGUGUUUGGGGGCUGGGUCCCUCUGGUGAUGGAUGAUGUCAAAGUGGCAACUCAUGAGAAGGAGUGGAAGUGUACCAACACACUGGCCUGCCUCAACCUGGGCACAAUGUGCUGGGAGACCGUCCUGAUGGACAGUGUGGAGGAGAACGUGCCCAGAGCGCGAGCAGGUCACUGCAGCGUCGCCAUCAACUCCAGACUCUACAUCUGGAGUGGCAGGGACGGAUACAGGAAGGCCUGGAACAACCAGGUGUGCUGCAAGGACCUCUGGUACCUGGAGUCAGAGCGUCCCUGUGCCCCCUCUCGGGUGCAGCUGGUCCGGGCCAACACAUCGUCUCUGGAGGUGAGCUGGGGGCCGUCACAGACUGCAGACACCUACCUGCUGCAGCUGCAGAAGUAUGACAUUCCCCCCACACCUGCCCCUUGUUCCACCCCCAUCGCCACACCUGGGGCCAGCUCCCCCAAAAUCCCCACCCCCGUUGCCAUGACACCAGCUAACCAGACUGUCCCACUGUCUGGUAUCACCCUGGUCCCCUCCCCCACUGCCUCUGUACCUGGAAGUCCACUGGCUGCUGCUGCCAAAGCACCAGCUGUUCUGAAGGUGGCAGCAGCUCCAGGUGCAGCAGGCGGAGCCUCCAUCGUUACAGUGAGACAGGCCAAGUCCACGGGUGCUGUGACGAACCUGCCUGCAGGUGUCCGUAUGGUGGUACCUGCUCAAGCCGCUCAGGGGACGCCAAUAGGAAGCAGUCCUCAGAUGAGCGGCAUGGCAGCGUUGGCGGCGGCAGCUGCAGCAACUCAGAAGAUCCCUCCGUCAACGGUGCUGAACGUCCCUGCAGGAGCAACGAUUGUAAAGACGGUGGCUGUAAGUCCAGGAUCCAACAGCCUGCCAGUCAGAGUGUCUGCUCCUGUUACAAUGGUGAGUAACCCGGCCACUCGCAUGCUAAAGACUGCUGCUGCUCAGGUAGGCGGGGCAUCUGUAGUGUCCACCCCAGGGACCCCCAGCCGACCAAUCAUCACGGUCCACAAAUCCGGCACAGUGACGGUCUCCCAGCAGGCUCAGGUGGUCACCACAGUGGUGGGCGGAGUCACAAAGACCAUCACUCUGGUUAACAGUCCCCUCAGUGUGGGAGGAGGCGGAGCUCUGAUCGGUAACCUUGGUAACCUGGGCAAGAUGGUGUCAGUGGUUCAGACCAAACCUGUUCAGAGUGGAGUGGUUACGGUUCAGGCUGGGAGUAACCCUGUCACACAGCUCCUCCAGACGAAAGGCGCUCUCCCUGCAGGAACCAUCUUGAAGUUGGUGACAUCAGCAGACGGUAAACAGACCACCCUCCUCAGCACCGCGCAGGCCGGAUCCACAUCCACCAAACCCACCAUCCUGGGUGUCGCCCCGGGAACCUCCAAACCGGGGGCCACGAUCAUCAAGACUAUCCCAAUGUCGGCGCUGCAGGGCGGGGCAGGUGCUAACAGUCCAAUCACGAUCCUGACCACCAAGAUGGUGACACCAGGAAGUCCUGGAAAAAUCAUCACCACCGUCCCGAAAAUCACUGCAGCCGGACAGCAGGGGCUCACACAGGUGGUGCUGAAAGGAGCUCCGGGGACGCCUGGUACGAUCCUCAGGACUGUACCGAUGAGCGGAGUCAGGCUGGUGUCACCGGGAGCUGUCGGCAUCAAACCUACUGUCACCACGCUGGUCGUCAAGGCAACCACAGGUAUGUCCAGUCUGGGGAUGUCAACAGGAAGUGUCUCCUCCACGGUCGCAGGAGGAGCUGUCGCUGCCGCCAACGCCUCCCUGGCAACACCCAUCACCACCCUGGCAACACCCAUCACCACCCUGGCAACCAUCGCCACGCUGGCCAACCAGGUUGCCACAGCAACCACAGCAGCAGGACCCAAACAGGUGACUCUGAUCACAACUCCAAGCGGUGCCGAGGCUCAGCCGCUGGUCCAGGAUUUGCCUGUCUCCAUCAUGGCUUCUCCUACUUCAGAAGAACCUGGAAGUACUACAACUACUACUACUACUGCAGGGGGAGAGGCUGGGGACACCUCAGCUGCCACAGUGAUGGUGGUUUGCUCCAACCCACCCUGUGAGACACACGACACGGGAACAACCAACACCGCCUCUGUCUCCACGGCAACUAUGGGUGGUAGUGACAGAGUGUGCUCCAACCCACCCUGUGAGACACACGAGACUGGAACCACCAACACCGCCACCACAGCUGGAGCUGGAGGGCUCAGACAGGUGUGUUCGAACCCGCCGUGUGAGACCCAUGAGACCGGAACCACCAACACCACCACCACAGCUACAGCUCAGCAGGGUGGAGACGGUCCUCAGGGAGAAUCCACAGAACCCUCCUCCUCCUCUGACCCCGCCUCCUCCACAGCCAGUCAGAGCAGAGCUGUUACCACAGUGACACAGGCCACGCCCACCCCCGGACCCUCCGUACCUGAGAUCUCCUCAUUGCUAGGAGAGGGCAGGAUGGAGUCCUCGGAAGCUGUUGCCAUGGCGGCAGCAGUGGAGCGGGAGGAGCCUAUGCAGACGGACAGCCAUCAAUCAGGGGAUGUGAUGUCAUCGGCGGGCGCAGUGUUACAGGUUCAUGUGGAGGGCAGCGAGGCCUCAGACAGCGGUCUCCCUCAAGAGCUGAUGUCAUCAGAAGGGGACGGAAGUGACAUGGUUUCCGGUGCGACCACUCUGAUGGUGACAGGACUGACCGUGGAUCAGCUGGCUGUUACCGCAGCAACAGAGGAGGCAGUUCCAACAAUACAGGCAGCGGCACACAUGGACGGGUCGGUGGGUCAGUCCAUCCCCAUCGUUCUGACCCAGCAGGAACUGGCAGCUCUGGUUCAGCAGCAGCUACAGGAUGUCCACAGCCAACCAGAACCAGAGCCAGCAGAACCAGAACCACAGCAUAGCAACGUGCCCACAGAGGGCCUUGCUCCAGCAGACAGCCUCAAUGACCCGGCAGCAGAGAGCAACGGACAUGAGCUGACAUCAUCAGCAGUGACCAGCGCCGUUGCCCGAUUGGCCAGUACGUUUGGCCCCGCCCAUCCUCUGACAGCCAGCCCGGCUAAGAUUCAUCCCGCCGCCGCGCUCACAGAGGUGACCAAUGGCAUCGCAGCAACCGCAGGGGGCGUCCAGGUGAGGUCAUCAGCGAGGGACAGCCAGUGGUACGACGUCGGCAUCGUCAAGGUGACCAACAUGGUGGUCACACAUUACUACGUCCCCUACGAAGACAACAUGGCCGACGUAAGAACGGAAAUCUGCUGAGCCGCUCUUCUGUUGAGAUAGCUAUGAAUUCUGGGGUUAUUGAUUAUGUUAUUGGUUAUUGAUUAUGUUAUUGGUUAUUGAUGAGGUUAUUGGUUGUUAUUGAUGAGGUUAUUGAUUAUGUUAUUGGUUAUUGAUGAGGUUAUUGGUUAUUGGUUAUUGAUUAUGUUAUUGGUUAUUGAUUAUGUUAUUGGUUAUUGAUGAGGUUAUUGGUUGUUAUUGAUGAGGUUAUUGAUUAUGUUAUUGGUUAUUGAUGAGGUUAUUGAUUAUGUUAUUGGUUAUUGAUUAUGUUAUUGGUUAUUGAUUAUGUUAUUGGUUAUUGAUGAGGUUAUUGGUUGUUAUUGAUGAGGUUAUUGAUUAUGUUAUUGGUUAUUGAUUGUGUUAUUGAUGACGUUAUUGAUGAGGUUAUUGAUUAUGUUAUUGGUUAUUGAUGAGGUUAUUGGUUAUUGAUGAGGUUAUUGUUAAUGAUGAGGUUAUUGAUUAUGUUAUUGGUUAUUGAUGAGGUUAUUGGUUAUUGUUAUUGAUGAGGUUAUUGAUUAUGUUAUUGGUUAUUGAUGAGGUUAUUGUUAUUGAUUAUGUUAUUGGUUAUUGAUUAUGUCAUUGAUGAGGUUAUUGAUUAUGUUAUUGUUAUUGAUGAGGUUAUUGAUUAUGUUAUUGUUAUUGAUGAGGUUAUUGAUUAUGUUAUUGUUAUUGAUGAGGUUAUUGAUUGUUAUUGAUGAGGUUUUUGAUUAUGUUGUUUUUGAUGAGGUUAUUGAUUGUUAUUGGUUAUUGAUGAGGUUAUUGAUUAUGUUAUUGGUUAUUGAUGAGGUUAUUGAUUAUGUUAUUGGUUAUUGAUUAUGUCAUUGAUGAGGUUAGUGAUUAUGUUAUUGUUAUUGAUGAGGUUAUUGAUUAUGUUAUUGAUGAGGUUAUUGGUGAGGUUAUUGAUUAUGUUAUUGUUAUUGAUGAGGUUAUUGAUUAUGUUAUUGGUUAUUGAUGAGGUUAUUGAUUAUGUUAUUGUUAUUGAUGAGGUUAUUGAUUGUUAUUGAUGAGGUUUUUGAUUAUGUUGUUAUUGAUGAGGUUAUUGAUUGUUAUUGGUUAUUGAUGAGGUUAUUGAUUAUGUUAUUGGUUAUUGAUGAGGUUAGUGAUUAUGUUAUUGUUAUUGAUGAGGUUAUUGAUUAUGUUAUUGGUUAUUGAUUAUGUUAUUGAUGAGGUUAUUGGUGAGGUUAUUGAUUAUGUUAUUGUUAUUGAUGAGGUUAUUGAUGGGGUUAUUGGUUAUUUAUGAGGUUAUUGGUGAGGUUAUUGAUUAUGUUAUUGUUAUUGAUGAGGUUAUUGAUUAUGUUAUUGGUGAGGUUAUUGGUUAUUGAUGAGGUUAUUGGUGAGGUUAUUGAUUAUGUUAUUGGUUAUUAAUGAGGUUAUUGAUUAUGUUGAUGAGGUUAUUGGUGAGUUUAUUGAUGAGGUUAUUGAUUGUUAUUGAUGAAGUUAUUGGUGAGGUUAUUGAUUAUGUUAUUGAUGAAGUUAUUGAUUGUUAUCUGUUAUCGAUCAAUGUUACUGAUUAUGUUAUUGGUUGUUGAUGAGGUUGAUUAUGUUAUUGAUGAGGUUAUUGAUUAUCUGUUAUUGAUGAGGUUACUGAUUAUGUUAUUGGUUGUUGAUGAGGUUGAUUAUGUUAUUGAUGAGGUUAUUGAUUAUGUUAUUGGUUAUUGAUGAGGUUAUUGAUUAUGUUAUUGAUGAAGUUAUGGAUGAAGUUGUUGGUUAUUGAUGAUGUCAUUGGUAAAUGAUGAUGUUAUUGAUGAAGUUAUUGAUUGUUACUGUUUAUUGAUGAGGUUAUUGAUUAUGAUAUUGGUAAGGUUAUUGAUGAGGUUAUAAUGAGGUGAUUGUUAUUGGUGAGGUUAUUGAUUAUGUUAUUGAUGAAGUUAUUGAUUGUUAUCUGUUAUUGAUUAUGUUACUGAUUAUGUUAUUAGUUGUUGAUGAGGUUGAUUAUGUUAUUGAUGAGGUUAUUGAUUAUGUUAUUGGUUAUUGAUGAGGUUAUUGAUGAAGUUAUUGAUUAUCUUUUAUUGAUUAUGUUACUGAUUAUGUUAUUGGUUGUUGAUGAGGUUGAUUAUGUUAUUGAUGAGGUUAUUGAUGAGGUUAUUGAUUAUGUUAUUGGUUAUUGAUGAGGUUAUUGAUUGUUAUUGAUGAGGUUAUUGAUGAAGCUAUGGAUUAAGUUGUUGGUUAUUGAUGAGGUUGAUUGUUAUUGAUGAGGUUAUUGAUUAUGUUAUUGGUUAUUGAUGAGGUUAUUGAUUGUUAUUGAUGAGGUUAUUGAUGAAGUUAUGGAUGAAGUUGUUGGUUAUUGAUGAGGUUAUUGAUGAAGUUAUGGAUGAUGUCAUUGGUAAAUGAUGAUGUUAUUGAUGAAGUUAUUGAUUGUUACUGUUUAUUGAUGAGGUUAUUGAUUAUGUUAUUGGUAAGGUUAUUGAUGAGGUUGUAAUGAGGUGAUUGAUUGUUAUUGAUGAGGUUAUUGAUGAUGUUAUUGAUGAUGUUAUUGGUGAGGUUAUUGAUGAUGUGUCUACCUGCAGGAUGACUCAGGUGUGGUGCCGGAUUACAGUCAGAUGAGGAAGGUGGAGCUGCAGCCGGGGACGGCCUAUAAGUUCCGGGUGGCGGGGAUCAAUAUCUGUGGCCGCGGGUCGUUCUCGGAGGUGUCUGCAUUUAAAACGUGUCUUCCUGGUUUCCCCGGAGCGCCGUGUGCCAUCAA